UGGCCUUGACAUACUAAGAACUUUCCAGAGAUGGAUUGGUGCCUUCGGGAACUUAGAUACAGGUGUCUGCAUGGCUGUCGUCAGCUCGUGUCGUGAGAUGUUGGGUUAAGUCCGCAACGAGCGCAACCCUUUUCCUUAUUUGCCAGCGGGUAAUGCCGGGAACUUUAAGGAUACUGCCAGUGACAAACUGGAGGAAGGCGGGGACGACGUCAAGUCAUCAUGGCCCUUACGGCCAGGGCUACACACGUGCUACAAUGGUCGGUACAAAGGGUUGCUACCUCGCGAGAGGAUGCUAAUCUCAAAAAGCCGAUCGUAGUCCGGAUCGCAGUCUGCAACUCGACUGCGUGAAGUCGGAAUCGCUAGUAAUCGCGGAUCAGAAUGCCGCGGUGAAUACGUUCCCGGGCCUUGUACACACCGCCCGUCACACCAUGGGAGUUUGUUGCACCAGAAGUAGGUAGUCUAACCGCAGGGAGGACGCUUACCACGGUGUGGCCGAUGACUGGGGUGAAGUCGUAACAAGGUAAGCGUAGAUGA
rnacentral:rRNA from 1 species